CAGUAGCCGCGGGAAUACGGAGGAUCCGAGCGUUAUCCGGAAUUAUUGGGUUUAAAGGGUGCGUAGGCGGAUAGAUAAGUCAGUGGUGAAAGACGGUGGCUCAACCAUCGCAGUGCCGUUGAUACUGUUUAUCUUGAAUAUGGAUGAGGUAGGCGGAAUGUGGCAAGUAGCGGUGAAAUGCAUAGAUAUGCCACAGAACACCGAUUGCGAAGGCAGCUUACCAAGGCAAAAUUGACGCUGAGGCACGAAAGCGUGGGGAUCGAACAGGAUUAGAUACCCCUGUAGUCCCUGUAUCUUAUAC
rnacentral:rRNA from 1 species